CCUACGGGUGGCAGCAGUAGGGAAUAUUGCUCAAUGGGGGAAACCCUGAAGCAGCAACGCCGCGUGGAGGAUGAAGGUUUUCGGAUUGUAAACUUUUUUUGUAAGAGAAGAUAAUGACGGUAUGUAACGAAUACACACCGGCUAACUCCGUGCCAGCAGCCGCGGUAAUACGGAGGGGACAAGCGCUCCUCGGAAUCACAGGGCGGAAAGAGCGCGUAGGCAGGAUAGCAAGUCAGAUGUGAAAUGCCAUGGCUUAACCAUAGAACUGCAUUUGAAACUGUUAUCCUAGAGUGUGGGAGAGGUAGGUGGAAUUCUUGGUGUAGGGGUAAAAUCCGUAGAGAUCAAGAGGAAUACUGAUUGCGAAGGCGACCUGCUAGAACAUAACUGACGCUGAGGCGCGAAAGCGUGGGGAGCAAACAGGAUUAGAUACCCCUGUAGUC
rnacentral:rRNA from 1 species